CCUACGGGAGGCAGCAGUGGGGAAUAUUGCACAAUGGGGGAAAGCCUGAUGCAGCAACGCCGCGUGAGUGAAGAAGUAUUUCGGUACGUAAAGCUCUAUCAGCAGGGAAGAAAAUGACAGUACCUGACUAAGAAGUCCCGGCUAACUACGUGCCAGCAGCCGCGGUAAUACGUAGGGGGCAAGCGUUAUCCGGAUUUACUGGGUGUAAAGGGAGCGUAGACGGCCGCGCAAGGCAGAAGUGAAAGCCCGGGGCCCAACCCCGGGACUGCUUUUGAAACUGUGUAGCUAGAGUGCAGGAGAGGUAAGCGGAAUUCCUGGUGUAGCGGUGAAAUGCGUAGAUAUUAGGAGGAACACCGGUGGCGAAGGCGGCCUACUGGACUGUAACUGACGUUGAGGCCCGAAAGCGUGGGGAGCAAACAGGAUUAGAUACCCCGGUAGUC
rnacentral:rRNA from 1 species